CCCACAGCUGCCAAGUUCAGGUGAAAAGAACUCACUUAUAUUACUUGAAAAAUAGCAAUGAUUAAGUUACUCGUUAAACAUAUUUCUACACAAUCAAUGCACAAGAAUGUAAUUCCUGAGUACAUUUCCAUGUAAUGUUUGCCGAAAUAUAUUUUUAUUAAUUUUUAUUUUAUUUUAUAUACUAUGUAAUAUAUAUUUUACAUACUUUUUAUAAACAAGAAUAUGAAAUAAUGGAUAGUGUUUCUGUUAUCACAGAUAAAUAAAUCAUACAAAUCACAAUCAUUUUUGUAAAUAAAAACCAGAGGAAUUCCUAUAAUCAAGAAAAAUGGUUCUGCAUGUUAGCCACAUAUUGAAAUCACCUGGCAUAUUUUUAAAACACUACCAGGACCCCAUCUGGAGAUUUUAAUUUAAUUGGUUUAGAAUGGGCCUGGGCAUAGGAAUUUGAAAAGUUCCUCAGGUGAUUUUCAUGUGCACCAAGAGUCAGAAAUGCUGACCAAGAGCACAGCUUCUCAAACUCUAAUGUGUAUAUAACCACCUGGGGACCUUGUUAAACUGCAGUUCUAGUUCAGUAGGUCCAGGGUAAGGCCUGAGAUUCUGCAUUUCUAACAGGCUCCCAGGUGAUGCUGAGCUGCUGGUCCCCAGAGCACUCAUUGUGGAACAAGAAUUUAUGAUUCUUAGCUCAGGAAAAGGACAGACAUUGGGAUCAUUAAGGCGUUUGAGUUGAAACUACCUAUAGUCUCCUAACCCCAAUCUAAACAGAUACCCAGUGCCCCAACUCCGAGUGCCAGUAUAUUUCACCUUUCAGAGGAAACUUGUUGCUGAAGGUCAUUAAAUCUGGUUUCUGGCACAAUCACUAGAAGGCUGCAAUGAGCCUUUAAAAUAUACAGUCACUAAUAUAAGUUGCAGACUGGUAUAUUUCAUAGGAAGAACCUGCUUACAACAGGCAUUUUUUAAAAAAAAAAGCAGCUCUGCAUUGUUAAGCUUCUACCGUAUGUAUUGAGCUUGAUGCCAGCAAGAAUGCUAAGUGGGGCCUUUACUCUGAUUGGACAUAUUCAUGACAUUUGUCCAAAGAAAAGAUAAGCUGAGU
rnacentral:lncRNA from 1 species